CCAACAAAAUAAAGAGAGGAGUUAUCAUUGGAUAUGUUUAACACCUUUACUGCCCGUGCUCCUCACGGGGGGCCACGGCUAGCCUCUAUUACAAAGCCAUAAGGUUUACAUGUCAGAUUGGGACAGUGAACGUGUUACGUUUCAAUUCAAUUAUUUUCUCCUUCGUUCUUUGAUCGAUUCGGAGCAUCGUAUUUUAGUACUAUACAGUAUAUUUUAGUACAAUAAGCGGGCUAAAUAAAUAUAUUAACAUAUAUAUGCUCUACGGUUUGGAAGAACGGCCGCCUAUGACAGUUAAAAUAAAAAACCGAUCAUUCUCGUAGAACCUACUUAUUUAUUGUCUAAGUUUGACACUUGACGAUAAAAUACUUCUUUAAGAAAGGAGGUGUCAAUUCGUAGCUGCUACAAUAUCUUUUAAAAAGUUAAACCGAUCAAAUGUUGAUGCUUAGUUACCAUUGAAAUAACAACUGCUUAGCAAUUGGUGGCACCCUCGCUGCUGACGUACGUGAUUGGCAGUGCGUGUAGGUAUUAAUGACAGCAGCUUGAAUUUGAAUGCUUGGUUACCACUGACUUUCUAACCGUUAUUGUCAUUGUGAUUAAAUAAGGGUGUAUGUGUUAAAGAAAAACUCAGAAGUUAAGAUAUAUGUGACGAACUGAAAGCCUAUGUGAAAAUGACAACUUAGAUGUCCUUAUUUUUGUGACGAUUGAAGUGUAUAUGUUUUCUUGGACACCUUGCCCGCUCAGGUAUAUCUGCUGCUGACUGUACCUA